GACGAACGCUGGCGGCGUGCUUAACACAUGCAAGUCGAACGGAAAGGCUCUGCUUUUGUGGGGUGCUCGAGUGGCGAACGGGUGAGUAACACGUGAGUAACCUGCCCUUGACUUUGGGAUAACUUCAGGAAACUGGGGCUAAUACCGGAUAGGAGCUCCUGCUGCAUGGUGGGGGUUGGAAAGUUUCGGCGGUUGGGGAUGGACUCGCGGCUUAUCAGCUUGUUGGUGGGGUAGUGGCUUACCAAGGCUUUGACGGGUAGCCGGCCUGGGAGGGUGACCGGCCACAUUGGGACUGAGAUACGGCCCAGACUCCUACGGGAGGCAGCAGUGGGGAAUAUUGCACAAUGGGCGGAAGCCUGAUGCAGCAACGCCGCGUGCGGGAUGACGGCCUUCGGGUUGUAAACCGCUUUCGCCUGUGACGAAGCGUGAGUGACGGUAAUGGGUAAAGAAGCACCGGCUAACUACGUG
rnacentral:rRNA from 1 species